rnacentral:lncRNA from 10 species
AUAACCUGAGUUUCUGUGGAAACAGAAAAGGCAUCAGUAGACAGUGGCUACCACCUAGGAUUCAGAAAGGUCCAGUCCAUUUGCACUCCACUGGAUCUUGAUGUGGAGGUGAUUUAAUUCUGGAUCUUGAUGUGGAGGUGGCCAGAGGACAGAGAAGUCAGCUUUGGUUUUAGAGAAAUAAAGAUCUAACAUUGAAUCUGUCUUAAAGACAGAACAAAACCAGAACCACCGCCACCUUUCUGUGCCUGGAUUCCCUCCCACUUUCCUCCGUCUCCAUGGCGGGUGUCACCUGGCAAAGCUGCCCCACAAUCGGCAUCCAAGGGGGAUGAACUCACAGACGAUCACAGGAGGCAGAGUACAAAAGCCUAAUGCUCUAUCAGUUAUGAGAAUACUAUAGCAAUAGGCCCAGAAAAGACAAAAUGAGUAAAGGGCACACAAAAAGACUUCCACAUAUAUGGACAAAAUUUACAAUAAAAGACAAUCUCUUUAAUACCUGGGAGAUUCUGGGAGAACUGCAUACAAUUAGGUGAAAAAAAAAUAACACAAAUCAAUUCUAUAUGCAGUGUAGAUCUAAAUGUUAAAAGUAAAAUGGUAGAGCUUUCUUUUUUUCUUAUUAUACUUUAAGUUCUAGGGUACAUGCUCACAACGUGCUGGUUUGUUACAUAGGUAUACAGGUGCCAUGUUGGUUUGCUGCACCCAUCAACUCAUCAUUUACAUUAGGUAUUUCUCCUAAUGCUAUCCCUCCCCACUACCCCCACCCC